UAGCGUGCUCCGGGGUCGGUGAAAUUCCGAACCGGCGGUGACAGUCCGCGACCCGGCCGAUGCCAUCGGCCGGUUGACCCGGUGAAAUUCCGGGACCGACGGUUAAAGUCCGGAUGGGAGGAAGCGCGCGA
rfam:Nonomuraea sp. ATCC 55076, complete genome.